UUCCCGGGCCUUGUACACACCGCCCGUCACACCACGAAAGUUGGCAAUACCCGAAGCCGGUGGCCUAACCCGCAAGGGAGGGAGCCGUCGAAAGGUAGGGUCGAUGAUUGGGGUG
rnacentral:rRNA from 1 species